UGGGGAAUAUUGCACAAUGGGGGAAACCCUGAUGCAGCCAUGCCGCGUGUAUGAAGAAGGCCUUCGGGUUGUAAAGUACUUUCAGUUGUGAGGAAGGCGUUGAUGUUAAUAGCUUCAGCGUUUGACGUUAGCAACAGAAGAAGCACCGGCUAACUCCGUGCCAGCAGCCGCGGUAAUACGGAGGGUGCGAGCGUUAAUCGGAAUUACUGGGCGUAAAGCGCAUGCAGGUGGUCUGUUAAGCAAGAUGUGAAAGCCCGGGGCUCAACCUCGGAACAGCAUUUUGAACUGGCAGACUAGAGUACUGUAGAGGGGGGUAGAAUUUCAGGUGUAGCGGUGAAAUGCGUAGAGAUCUGAAGGAAUACCGGUGGCGAAGGCGGCCCCCUGGACAGAUACUGACACUCAGAUGCGAAAGCGUGGGGAGCAAACAGG
rnacentral:rRNA from 1 species